rnacentral:piRNA from 1 species
UGCCUUUGUUUUCUAGAUUUGCAGGGACGU